ACCCUGCACACCACCCUGUUGCUUCCCUACAUCCGCUACUUGAGACUCCUCCCCUAUCACCUAUCUCUUCCUACCCCAUCACAUCCCGUCCUCGAUCAGAUACACCUCCUCUUGUCACUUCCCUCUAUCCAUCCCAUCUCCUUCACCAAGGCCACCACUCCCCCUCAUCAUCAUCUCCUCAACCACCCCGUGUGUGCACAAUGGAAAGUAACCAACACAAAGCAUUAGAUCCACAGGAUUCUAUGGUUCAUUUAGAUCUGGAUGAAGAUAAGAUAAUGGUGACAUCAGCAUUACCAUGUCCUUCAAUGUCCGUGGGAAAAUCGGUUAUGAGGAAGAGGGGAAGACCAAGCAGGCAUGCACGAGGAACUUCGUUGUCUUCUGUUACCCCAGAAGGGUGCAAGAAGAUGGAGGGUCGAUCAUAUAAUUUGCGUAGUGAUUCAACAAUUUUGUUGAGAAAUUCAUGUUUGCUAAUAGCUGAUGGAUCGACAAAACAGAAGCCAUCUUGGGGACUUGACAAGGAUGACUUGCAUAUACCUUUCUUUCAAAUUUCAGAUAAUCCUAGGGAAGCUGUUGAUGAUAUACUCAUGACAUUUGGUGGACUACAUCAGAGGAUCAUGCAGUUGAUAGAUGUGAAAAUGGCUUCAAAACAGCUUGUCUUCCAAGCAUUGAACCUCAUGAGAAAAGCUGGAUAUCAUGUUAACAAGGACAAGAGGGUUGGAGAGGUCCCAGGAGUUAAAAUUGGUGACAUAUUCUACUCUAGAAUUGAGAUGCUCUUGGUAGGGCUACAUAGUAACAUCAAUGGAGGAAUUGAAUUCAUGUCUGGUGCUUUUGUUAAUAAGGAAGAUAAGAUAGCUACAUGCAUUGUGUCAUCUGAAAUGUAUGAGAAUGGUGAUGAUGACCCAUAUACUUUGGUAUAUAAUGGCCAAGGCAAAGUCCACCAUAAGCUUGAGAGAGGUAACUAUUCGUUGAAUCAGAGUUUUAUUAGAAGGAAUCAUAUUAGACUUAUUCGUAGUGAACCAAAUCCAUUGGUUAGGCUAGGCUCAAAGGAAAAAAUAUACAUAUAUGAUGGUCUUUAUAAGAUCGAAGAAAAGUACAGACAAACAACAAAAUCUCGUUCUAACUUAAAGUUCAAGUUGGUCAGGGAACUAGGCCAGCCUAAUGGCAUUGUAGUAUGGAAGAAUACUCAGAAAUGGAGGGAAAAUCCAUCUUGUAGAGAUCAUGUCAUAAUGCCUGACAUGUCAAAUGGUGCAGAAAUAGCUCGUGUUUGUGUUGUAAACAACAUUGAUAGUGAGGAUGCUCCUAACAACUUUACCUAUUCAACUAAACUUGAUAAUGGGAAUCAUAUGGUUUCAGCAAACAAGAUGUGUGUCUGCAAAUGCACAAGCUCAUGCCUUGGUGAAGACAAUUGCUCUUGUUUGAAAACAAAUGGCAGCUAUUUACCUUACAACUCUUCAGGAAUACUUGUUUGUCGAAAGACUAUGAUAUAUGAGUGCAAUGAUUCAUGUGCUUGCACAAUUAAUUGCUCGAACCGAGUGGUACAGAGGGGUUCCUAUCUACACUUUGAAGUGUUCAAGAUGAUGGAUCGAGGUUGGGGCCUUCGCAGUUGGGAUCCCAUUCCGGCGGGUGCAUUUGUAUGUGAAUAUGUUGGUGUAGUUAUUGACAAAGAUAGCUUAGUUGAAGAAGAUGAAUACAUAUUUGAGACCAGAGCAUAA
rnacentral:lncRNA from 1 species